AGCAGAAUGUGUUUGACACAUUGGACAUGCUGGAACGCAACAAUUCACUUUCAUCACGAUUCAGUUUCAUUGUGUAACAUAAAGUUUGGUUGCAAAUCAGGAAUUAUGCACAAUUAUGGCAGGAAUACCCGUAAAUUAGAAGUGCUGCAACUAUAACCCUUGUGCUAUCCUAGGCACUUUAACAUUGGGAGUUGGGUCAUUUAGACCCACUAGACAGUGCGCUGAACCUUUUUUACUUCAAUGAUUUGUGACCUUUAUCCACCUUUGUCAUGGUAGGGAGAACACGUCAAUGGGUCAAGGGUUAAAUGAAGACAUUCCAUCGUUAUUUUAUCCAAAGAAAUCCCAAACUGUAGAUUGACAUUACAUGAAAAACACACUUAAUUCCCAGACUUGCGCCUCUGCUUCUCGUCUUUUGUCUGAACGGGUACGGUGGAGGUGGAUUGUGCACGCUGACAUGACUCAUGGAGUCACAGCAAUUAUGGGAUUGGGAAACACGGCGAAACCUGAGUGAAACCAGCCUGCAGCGUGCAAACAAAGAAAGUCAAAAUAAAAGCCCCAAAACUGCAAAGGUUUACAACCAGGACGCUAUUUUUACCGGGGCUGGAGCCUCACUGUGGCUCUGCAUGUCUGUCUUCAUGUUUGGCAAACAGGGAACAAACUUGGCAGGAAAACCAGAGCACCCCCCACCCCCCCCCAUUCUGCACACAGACACAGGCUUCGCCGUCCCUCUCCUCCUCCCCCUUCUACACUCUUUUGCCCUCCCCUUUUCCUCCCUGUGUGUUCAUUCAGAGCUCAGGCGCUCAGACCAUCACACCUCUCUUUUCUUUUGUCUCCGUCUUUGUCUCCCGUCCGUCCGUCCGUCCAUGCCAAGGAUGUCCACCCUCCGGCCUCUGCCUCUCCUCAGAUCUCUGCUGCUGCUGCUCAUCCUGCUGACUGCUGUUUGCCUGACGGAGAAUCACAACGAGGAGCUCAGCGACCACACGGCGUUCCCAGAAUACGACUACAACGCCACCUUCGAGUACAGCUUCUACAGUAACAGCAGCAAUGAAGACCUGGAGAAUUUCCAACAGCAGUUCAUAAACCCCCAAGAGGAAGAGGAGGAGGAGGAGGAUAGCAGAACUUUAGGACAGCAGGAGGAGCAGGAGGUUACGACAACAGAGAAGAACAGUGUCAGACCUCACAACACAGCAUCACUUCCUGUUUCUCUGGACCUCCGGCUGCUGCUCUGGACUCCGGUGGUCUCGGUGGUCCUGAACUCACGGCAGCUGUGACACAAACUGUUGGCUGACACACAAACGCACUCUUCAGCCCUCCUGUAGGAUGACCAGAUCCAGGGCGACCAUGGAGGUGCCACCAACCUGAACGUCCUCCAGCCCUGUGGCUGCUGGAGGUUGGGACCGGCAGCGGCCUCAGCCAAUCACAGAGCUGCUUUCUCUGGAGCGCAGAUCAAAGCCCAGCUCACUGCUUCUAAAAGAGAUGAACUUUAAUUAGACUUUGAAUCAUUUCACAGGGAGAGACUGUCGUGCUUUUCAAAUCUGCAGAGGAGCAGGACGGGGAACUUUUCUGUGCUCUUACAUUUUAUUAGAUGGAAAUUACAUUAUCAUUUGGAAAGACAAACCCUUUCAUUUUGCAGAAAAUGGAUAAGGAAGUUAUUCAGAUAAAAAUAGUUUUCUAAUGGCAAAUAUUUUGUCAUACAUGUCUUUGUUGCGACCAAAGAAAUCCCCAAAAAGCAGGUUUUUAUUUGUGCCGCAGCUUUUAUCCAAAGCAAAAAACAGGUUUUGGGCACAAUUUUAUAGAAGUUUGUGCAAAAAAAUGAAAACAUGAAUUCUUCUCUGAAGAUCUGAGGUCAUAAGAAAACCUUUCCUCCACCUGUGAACACGUUCCACAUUAAAAGUUACUCUAAUGCAAAAUGUUUUUGAAACGUUUGUGUUUUUGAGCCUGUAUUUUUCGUUCAUUCAUUUUACCAAAGCUUUUCUGUUUCCCGUUGAUGUCAAUCAGCCUUUUCUGCUGCUGAAGUUGAGGAUCUUUCGUGUUCUUCUCCAUUCCUAAACACAGAUUUUGUCUCUUCUGAAGUCUGAAAUCUGCUCAAACCUGGCCGUCGGUGAGCUUCCACAGAGUCAAAUUUGUCUAGAAGCCUCCACGUCUGCAGACUCAGUCCAGGCUGUUUUCUGAACCCGUUUCAAUCUAAACUGUCCUGCAUCUUCGUGAAACCCGGGAUCUUUUUAAAGGCCUUCAUGAAAACUGUCUCACUGUGAAUUCAUCCUCUGCACUUUGUCAACCAGCAGCACUUAUCAGCUCACUUUGCAUGUUUUUUCUCCUAAAAGCAAUAAUGGAACAUUAAAUUUGAAUGUAAACAAAAAGGGAAUUAUUCCGACUGUAUUUUAUGACAAAUCGAACAUUUUGUCCAGCAGGUUCUAGUGGAUUCUGUGCCGCUCCGUCACACUUUAACAGUUUUAAUAGAAAUUGGUUUUGGGGGUAAAUAGAUUUGUGUUUAAAUUCCAUCAGUGUGAUUUCAAAUUUAUACAAAAGCAGUCAAGACAUUACAAAAAAGGAGAGUUUUUUAUAAAGUUUUAAGAAGAAAACCAUUGUUUUUAUGGAUUGUUUAUCAUUUGUGUUUUUCAAUAAAAUGUUUCAAAUGUUUUUUUGUGUGUGUAUGCACAUACAUGAAAAUGUUAUUUCAUAUUAGAACAUUUAAUAUUAUCAUUAAAUAACUUGUUGAUAAAGAAAACAGAAAUUGUUUGUAUGAGAUGCAGUUUAGUUUUUUAAUAAAGAUAAAAACAUGCUCCCACUUGCGGCAUGCAAUACCUAUAAAAAACCUUUUAAAAUAUCCUAAUAUUUUCCUCCCAGGAGAAAUGAACUUGAAUAUCUUUCAAAGACAAAUGUUCUCAGUAAGUCUUUCACAGGAGACUUCAUUUUUAAACUUUGCAAACCAGUGCAAAAAUUUAGGCUGUUGGUCAACAGAUGAAUAAAUACCUCAAAAGAUGACAAUAACAAAAAA
ensembl:lncRNA